rnacentral:rRNA from 1 species
GACGAACGCUGGCGGCGUGCUUAACACAUGCAAGUCGAACGGAAAGGCCCUGCUUUUGUGGGGUGCUCGAGUGGCGCACGGGUGAGUAACACGUGAGUAUCCUGCCCUUGACUUUGGGAUAACUUCAGGAAACUGGGGCUACUACCGGCUAGGAGCUCCUGCUGCAUGGUGGGGGUUGGAAAGUUUCGGCGGUUGGGGAUGGACUCGCGGCUUAUCAGCUUGUUGGUGGGGUAGUGGCUUACCAGGGCAUUGACGGGUAGCCGGCCUGAGAGGGUGACCGGCGACAUGGGGACUGAGAGACGGCCCAGACUGCUACGGGAGGCAGCAGUGGGGAAUAUUGCACAAUGGGCGGAAGCCUGAUGCAGCAACGCCGGGUGCGGGAUGACGGCCUUCGGGUUGGAAACCGCUUUCGCCUGUGACGAAGCGGGAGUGACGGUAAUGUGUAAAGAAGCACCGGCUAACUACGUG